rnacentral:rRNA from 1 species
CCCUUAGAUGUUCUGGGCCGCACGCGCGCUACACUGAUGAAUGCAACGAGCUCUACCCUUGACCGAAAGGCCCGGGUAAACUUGUGAAACUUCAUCGUGAUGGGGAUAGAUUAUUGCAAUUAUUAAUCUUCAACGAGGAAUUCCUAGUAAGCGCGAGUCAUCAGCUCGCGUUGAUUACGUCCCUGCCCUUUGUACACACCGCCCGUCGCUCCUACCGAUUGAAUGGUCCGGUGAAAUCUUCGGAUUGCUGACCAAGAUCCAGCAAUGGAGCUUGGUUGCGAGAAGUUGAUUAAACCUUAUUAUUUAGAGGAGGGAGAAGUCGUAACA